GCCUAUUCAUGUCUUUCAUUCAUUUAAACUAGUAUUAUCCUCAAGAAGUCCAUUAUGUGUCAAUUUAAACUCAAUCAGUCAACAUAGCUGUUUUUACUGUGUUAUCCUUAUUAUAUCAGUUUCAAACAGGUAAAGAUUCAAAUCAUGACAAGAAAUCACAUCACAGUCUUAACAGUCAGUACUAUACUUGUCUACUCAAUUCCAAUCUCAUC
rnacentral:lncRNA from 1 species